AACAGGCUGAAAGAAGUCCUAGCUGUAAAAUAUGUUCUGUAACAUAAGAGAAUGAUAUUUUGCAUCAAUUCUUAGGUGUGUCGUUUGGACUGGUGAUGAGCGGGUCUUCUUUUAUAAUCCCACCACUCGUCUUUCUAUGUGGGACCGACCUGAUGAUCUGAUUGGCAGGGCAGAUGUUGACAAAAUUAUUCAGGAGCCCCCUCAUAAAAAAGGAAUGGAGGAAUUGAAGAAACUAAGGCACCCAACUCCGACAAUGCUGUCGAUCCAAAAGUGGCAAUUCUCUAUGAGUGCAAUUAAAGAGGAACAAGAAUUAAUGGAAGAAAUUAAUGAAGAUGAGCCUGUUAAAGCAAAAAAACGGAAGUAAGUAAUACAUACAAUUUGAUUGAGGUAGAUUAUAUCUUUUAAAAGUCGAUUUGGUAAUAAUUUGUGAUUGGAAGGGACAGGUAAUGUGAAUGUUGUUAGGAGACAUGAUUGCUCUCUUAGGCCUGAUAGUAAUAGCUUUGUUUUUCAUUGUGGAAAAUGUGUCCCUUCUUUUGCUAGAUUUCUAGAAUAUUUGGGUAUUCAUAUAUGUAUUAUGAAGCCAAAUGAUACUUUUGGAAUUAAUUCUUUUUGGAAAUUUAUUAGGUCUCAAUUUUAUGAAAAGUUAGUUUCCUCCCUCAUUUAGACCCCAAUGGAUACCAUUCCAGAGAUCUCAUAAAAACAGACACAGACUUCUCCCUCUUUAUAUGGUUAUCUUACGACUUACCUAGUCCUUGAGUCUGGUCAUUACUCCUUGGUGAGGA
rnacentral:sRNA from 1 species